UACGAAGGGGGGCUAGCGUUGCUCGGAAUCACUGGGCGUAAAGGGCGCGUAGGCGGCGUUUUAAGUCGGGGGUGAAAGCCUGUGGCUCAACCACAGAAUGGCCUUCGAUACUGGGACGCUUGAGUAUGGUAGAGGUUGGUGGAACUGCGAGUGUAGAGGUGAAAUUCGUAGAUAUUCGCAAGAACACCGGUGGCGAAGGCGGCCAACUGGACCAUUACUGACGCUGAGGCGCGAAAGCGUGGGGAGCAAACAGG
rnacentral:rRNA from 1 species